AGUAACAACGUUGUCAUUAUGUUUAAUUUUAAUAAAAAUUAAAAACAGAGAGAGAACUGUGCUGAACUUUCGCUAUUUUACAACAUGCGCAGUACUCGAACCGAGAAUUUGUCAUUGUCUGCACAUCCGCCAUAUUGCUGCAAAGUGUUGCGGAUGCUUCGGAUCACUUGCAAACUUAUCGAAAGGUUUCGUCACAGUGUCUGUGAUCACAUGAUCGAUAAAAAUUUUAUGCAUCUGAAACAACUGGUAAAUGACGUAAGUUACCAGACUUGCAACUAUACCGAGCUGGAACUGUUUUAUGCAUAUGGCC
rnacentral:lncRNA from 1 species